rnacentral:rRNA from 1 species
GUCGAGCGGACAGAAGGGAGCUUGCUCCCGGAUGUUAGCGGCGGACGGGUGAGUAACACGUGGGUAACCUGCCUGUAAGACUGGGAUAACUCCGGGAAACCGGAGCUAAUACCGGAUAGUUCCUUGAACCGCAUGGUUCAAGGAUGAAAGACGGUUUCGGCUGUCACUUACAGAUGGACCCGCGGCGCAUUAGCUAGUUGGUGAGGUAACGGCUCACCAAGGCGACGAUGCGUAGCCGACCUGAGAGGGUGAUCGGCCACACUGGGACUGAGACACGGCCCAGACUCCUACGGGAGGCAGCAGUAGGGAAUCUUCCGCAAUGGACGAAAGUCUGACGGAGCAACGCCGCGUGAGUGAUGAAGGUUUUCGGAUCGUAAAGCUCUGUUGUUAGGGAAGAACAAGUGCAAGAGUAACUGCUUGCACCUUGACGGUACCUAACCAGAAAGCCACGGCUAACUACGUGCCAGCAGCCGCGGUAAUACGUAGGUGGCAAGCGUUGUCCGGAAUUAUUGGGCGUAAAGGGCUCGCAGGCGGUUUCUUAAGUCUGAUGUGAAAGCCCCCGGCUCAACCGGGGAGGGUCAUUGGAAACUGGGAAACUUGAGUGCAGAAGAGGAGAGUGGAAUUCCACGUGUAGCGGUGAAAUGCGUAGAGAUGUGGAGGAACACCAGUGGCGAAGGCGACUCUCUGGUCUG